rnacentral:rRNA from 1 species
GACGAACGCUGGCGGCGUGCCUAAUACAUGCAAGUCGAGCGAGUCUGCCUUGAAGAUCGGAGUGCUUGCACUCUGUGAAACAAGAUACAGGCUAGCGGCGGACGGGUGAGUAACACGUGGGUAACCUGCCCAAGAGAUCGGGAUAACACCUGGAAACAGAUGCUAAUACCGGAUAACAACAGAUGAUGCCUAUCAACUGUUUAAAAGAUGGUUCUGCUAUCACUCUUGGAUGGACCUGCGGUGCAUUAGCUAGUUGGUAGGGUAACGGCCUACCAAGGCGAUGAUGCAUAGCCGAGUUGAGAGACUGAUCGGCCACAUUGGGACUGAGACACGGCCCAAACUCCUACGGGAGGCAGCAGUAGGGAAUCUUCCACAAUGGACGCAAGUCUGAUGGAGCAACGCCGCGUGAGUGAAGAAGGGUUUCGGCUCGUAAAGCUCUGUUGUUGGUGAAGAAGGACAGGGGUAGUAACUGACCUUUGUUUGACGGUAAUCAAUUAGAAAGACACGGCUAACUAAGUG